CAUGAAAAAUCAAUUACACCAGAGCGUUUCCGAGGACGAAUCCACUUUGAAUUUGAUAAAUGUAUUGCUUGUGAAGUAUGUGUUCGCGUAUGUCCGAUAGAUUUACCCGUUGUGGAUUGGAGAUUUGAAAAGGAUAUUAAAAGAAAACAAUUGCUUAAUUAUAGUAUUGAUUUCGGAGUUUGUAUAUUUUGUGGCAAUUGUGUUGAGUACUGUCCAACAAGCUGUUUAUCAAUGACUGAAGAAUAUGAACUUUCCCUUUUUGAGAUAAACGGUGUCGUACAAAAUAAGCAUGAUCAUUUAAUGAUUUUCCCUCAACUAAGCUAG
rnacentral:rRNA from 1 species